AUCGAGCUUCCUCCUGUUGCCACUGACCAAUUUCCGCUCUCCAGUCUGUCUGCUAACGAGCGUUCAAAUAACGAACACCUAUCGGUACCGGCCGCUAAAAGCCUACAAACAAUACACCAGAUGGAAACCUCCCCAUCUUCUUCAGCUGCUGCUAUACUGUCUCACUUGCAAACCCUAACUUCCCGAGGUUGGUGCUUCAAACGCGUCGAUCAAGUGCAAGCUCUAGUAGCAGCUGAAUUAUCUUCGCGUCUCACCGUGGAUUCUGUCGAAUCGGCACUCCUCAACAUGGACUUUCGAUCCAUCGGGGGGAAAUCUUUGCCUGAACUUUCCCAUCUCCGCCAUGCCUCGCAUCUACAAGGCCCCAAAGUCCUUCAGAUAUCUUCUGUUAGAGAUAUAGGUAAGAGCAAUGUGGCUGAGAGUUUAGGAAAUUCGAGUAAUAGGCGCCUGCUGAGAUUCAACCUUACUGAUGGCCAAACUGAAAUAGUUGCCGUAGAGUAUUCUCAUCUGUCAUCAAUUCCAGAUAACGUAGUGCCUGGCACUAAGGUUCUGUUGGAGAAUAAUGCCAAGGUUCGCAAUGGAAUUGUCUGCUUAGAUGCCAAAGUGACGAGAGUUUUAGGAGGUCGGGUUCAGUCACUGUAUGAAGAAUGGGAGAUGAACCAAAAAUAUUCAGCGUUUUCACGUUCAGCCUUGCGACCAUUGAAUGAAAGUGCAGCUAGUUGCCCUCCACGAUUUGAGAAGUUCGAAGUUGGUGCAAGGCUGCAACAGCAGAGCAGAACUUCUCAAUAUUCCAGUAGUAGCCUGGGGACCGCUUCUGAAAUUGGUGAAAGUUCGACAUCAAGGCAGAUGAGUAAAUCUCCGAGCCGCAGCGUCAUAAUGGAUAGCCAGCAAACUGAAGUACAGCCACCAGCUCGUGUUGAAAAUGCUGAAGAUAACUCCACCAACCUUCACGCAAGGCAAAAAGAAGUGGCUGAAUCUAUCCCCGUUCAAAACCAAGCAGCUGCUCAAAAACUCCUCCAGAGAAUGAGUCAGCCCAACCAUGAUAAUAAGCAUUUCCGGGGGAGGAGACAUGGGAGGAAAGAAAAGGAGGAAGACACUGCAACCGUCACUUUAGAUGAGUGGGAAAGGAGAAAAACCGGGAUAAGCAGUUCAACAGCACACAGCCUAGAUGAGGACCUUGCACGACAGCUUCAAGAGAAAUUUGAUUUGGAAGAUGUUCAUGUUCAGAAGAAUCCUAAUGCAACGGAGGCAGAGAAUAUAAGAAUGAGCAUGUUUAAUUUUGAAAGAGACGAUCCUAGAGCCCAUGGUAGGAUGGGAUUUAGAGGUAGAGGUAGAGGUAGUGGAAGGGGAAGAGGAAGGAGAGGAGGCAGGGGAAGGUGGUGAUUUUUCACAUGUUUGGCUUCUCCUUAUUGUUCUGAACAUUGCUUUGGCUUUUGGUGAUUGCUAUGCCCAAGACGUGCACAUGCAACUCUGAAGAGACUUCUAACCUCAGGGUGCAUACGAAUUCAUCUGUCGGAAGUGGCUUCUAACCUCAGCGUGCAUAAGAAUUCAUCUGGUGUUGUUAACUUCCAACUUUUACCUGAAUGGUCUUAUCAAAUGGAUGAGAAAUCUCCAUGUCCUAGGUAUUCCUCGCUGCCCAUUUAACAGGCUCUUAACCAUCUCAUGGUGCAAUCUGAGAGAUUAGGAAGCCCUGAAGUGCACUGCAAUGGUUAGAUUCAACACAGGGACAUGGACUAAGUAGAUAACCUUGUACCUCAAUGUUACAUUUGGUGUUACUUGUUGAAGAGUGGAAGAAGAAAUGCAAAACCAAAAUUUUGAUGGAUAUUUUUGUCGUGUAAGCUAGGGCAGUCUACAACUAAUCUCCAGGCUUCCAGUAGAUUUUUGAAAUUUCUAUACCUUUUUGGGUAAAUCAAGUUCCCUGUUUGAAGAAUGUGUAUGGUGGAUUUAACUGCAGAAUGCAGUUCACUCUUUAAACAUGUUCUAUAUAUAUAAAAAAAAAGCGCCUCAGAAAUGAUAUAAAGCCUAAA